rnacentral:lncRNA from 1 species
CUGCCCUGGCCACAGGAGAGUAGGGGUGGGGAUUAGUCAGACCAGCGUCACAGCUGAGGAUCAGAACAACACAAGAGACUGGCAGCCUGGGAACUCCCUGUUCGCCUUUAAGGGAACCUUGCAGUGGUGUCUUGACAGCAGAACCAGGGAAGAAGCUGGAUAGCCCCUAGAAGAGCUUCCUGGCCUCCUCUGCCAAGCUCAUCACAGCCUGUGGACCCAUAAUGAAAUGGCAGGCACAUCCAGAUAUGGCAGAGAUGAGGACAGAGACAAACCAAGGAAAUGGUGUCUUUAUUUCUUUCACAGAACCAACCCUUCCCAUGCACACCCUGUGACAGAGUUACCCCUGCCCUACAGGAAGGACUGGCAGAUCCAGGUCAGCCACACCUUCAGGGCCGCUGCUGGAAGCAGGAGAGUCCCAGCUUCUCUUUCAGGGCACCAGUGCAGCUCAGAGAUCAGAUAGAGGACAUGCACGGCUCCUCUCAGGACAACGGGAGUGAUUCACAAGGAAAACCAGUGAGGAUCGGGUAACAGGCCAGGUCUCUGAGCAGGUCACACUGAGGAAAGCUGUUCUCCAUCUCCCCAGAGCAAGAAUGUGUCAAGCCAGAGAGAAGAAAGCCUUUCUAGAGAGGAGGGGUAUGAGAAGUGAGCCGGGCAGGGAAGCAUGGGAGUCAGGCACUGCGCAGGGCAGAGCCACUGGAGAAGUGGGACUCCCAGAGUGGAGAGUGAGUCUAAGAUCAGCCACUGGAACUGGUUUGGAGAGUCUCGAAUCUAUGAAAAGACAGAGUAAUCACAAGCAAGAUAAAAGAAGCAAGUUUUUCCUGCCCCAGCCUUUGGAGCAAAAGCCUUGUUCCCCUAAACCCUACUCUUUCCCUCUCCAAGCCUCCUUCUGAGUCCACAGAAAGAAUGACAUCCUGGUGGAUGGGAAGAAGGCAAAGCAGGUUACCUUUGGUAUAGAGGUGCCUGACAUUCCAUUAUGGCUUUUAUCUCAGUAAUCUAGGUCUAUAUGAAAUCCUCCAUGGGGGGAGAGGGGGUGCUGGCUGAUGGCUAAACAGUCCUAAAAGGCACUGCCAGGAAAGGCCCGGUUGUUAGAGUCCCAACAGUGCUACCAAGCCAUGAUGUCCCAAUGACCUGGCCCUUCACUUUCACAGGGUAUGUGGGAAAUGGGGUGGUUGAGUGAUCUCAGGGCUCAAUGACAGCUCUAAGAGCUGACUGUGACCCAGGAAACUGACCAUGCAGGGCCCCCUCCCUCUUCCCAAGAGAGGGGCUGCAGUGACUCACUGCCUGGGGUGUGGCUCCAGGGUCUAGGGUGGCUCAGCUGCUGACUCACAGGCCUCCCCCCGGUCCUCCCUGCCCGGUUGUGCUGGGAGGAAUUUGCCAGUGGACCUGCCUGAUCCCAGCAUAGUUCUGAGUCCUCCACCACCUGCCCUUUUGAACCAGAGAUGAUGUCAUGCGUCAGUGUCCCCACCUGGAAGAUGGGUUCAACACCACUUAACAGUACCUCCCAAGGAACCCUCAAAAGACAGAAUAUACACACUGAGUGGGUGGAGAGAUGGUUCAGCAGUUAAGAACACUGGCUGCUCUCCCAUAGGACCUGGGUUCAAGUCCUAGCAUCCACAUGGCAGCUCACAACUGUCUGUAACUCUAGUUCCAGGGGAUCUGACACCCUCACACAGACAUACAGGCGGGCAGAACACCAAUGCACAUAAAAUAAAAAUAAGUUAAUUU